UUAACUGAACAACUGCCAAUUUCUCAGCUGAGCGGAAUGUCCAUAAAGUUAGAAUAUGGUCAUAGAAGAACAACCUAAGCCAAAUGUGGCAACUCUCAGCAUGGCGGUGGGAAACAGUUGGGAGGAGGUAGAUAGGACCUGAAGCUUCCAAUGAAGCCAGAAAAGAGCAACCAAAGUAUUGGAUGGUCUGGCACAGUUGAGGUUAAUAAAACUCUUCAAAGCAGUGUGAUUAGCGUUAGUCUUCAAAAUGUCAGCAGGGAAAACCCUACUUCUUCUUGAUUUUAUGUGCUGGCUGCCAGCGGCCCUGGAGAGAGAAAGAGGUGGAAAAUGCUUCAAGGGUAUUGUCUGUGCCUGCUACCUUUCUGCCCUCUCAAGGUGGGGAAACAGAUUUAAAGAGGCUGGCUUGCCAAAGAACACUUAGAAGCAAGAGUUGAACCCAGAUCAUCUGACUCCAAAGAUUAUAUAAUAAUAUUCUGAAUCUGAAAUCUUGUUGUCUUCCUGCAUCAUGAUGGAGUGGAUGAUUCAAUAAACUCAGAAGACAUCAGUUUAAGUCA
rnacentral:lncRNA from 1 species